AACGGAGGAGUAAGCAAGCUCUCAGUCCAAUUUCCCAAGUAUCUUUUCCUCCCCUUUUCAAACAGGGAUCCAGGCGACACUCGUGGCAGACGAUCUCAACACCAAAAGAACAGCAGCUGCCAGCUGCAUAAAACAGAUUGAGGCCUGCAAAUUGACUGAAAUGAUGACUACUCUUAACCAGACAUCUCAUUUUUCCACUUCUGACAGGCUGAGAUCUGCAAACCUCUGGGUCUCAAGAGAUGAAGGCUACAUUAGCCAACUAAGACGACAAACUCAACUCUUCCUUGUCAUUAAAUAAUUUGCCAGUUAUAAAUGGUUUGGUAACUUUACAGAAUUUAAGUACAUGUAAUGUUUAAAUUUCCCCAUUAAAUGUAAGAGGCAAAGAAAAUCCUUUUAAAUAACUAAGCAGAGGAUAUGAAAGGGGAGCCAAGAAUAGACAGAACUGUUACUUUUCAAAGAACCUUCGCUCUUUAUUCAAACAAAUAUUUACACAAUUGAAGGCAACGGCAAGAGAGAUAUAGCCAUUCUGUUAAAAUAGUGGGCAACUCUAACGGUUUAUUUAUCCCAAAUCCGACAGUUCUGUUGCUAACCUACCAGGAACCAAGAAUUCAAGUGUUCACAGGGCAAAAGUUUAACCUUCUGAAACUGUGGACCUCAUUUAGAUCUCUCCCAGCCGAAUUCAAACGUUAGAAUCCCAGAGACAUAUCUCGAACGCCCAAAUUAAACCAAACUAGGAAGCUUAAAAUUACACGUCCAAUACUUGAAAACCUACAUCUGUAACUUACACGUUCAUAUUACGAAGGGAAAUGUGGCUGACAAAUAUUUACACUAAAAAGACUCCACAUUUUUAUGCCUCGUCUAGUUACACUCCCAGCUGUGCCUGGCUAUGACUAGUUGUGCAUUCUAGAGCUCUUUAGAGCUACUUCAGAGUUGCAGGAUAAAGAUUUCUAGGGAAGAGGGCAGGGCCAGGCGCCCGGAGGAUUUCCAGCCACGGGUAGUUUACCGAGAGAAAAAGCUGCGGGCGUCGCUCCCUCUUUUACAUAAGAAAGGCUAAGCUCUAAAAGGCAGACAACUUCUUCCUGGCCCUUCGGAGAAGCUAGCCCUUGGAACCUAGGCCCUGAGUCGUGAGGAAGAGGAAAGACUACAUGGGGUCACUAUGUAAGGUGUUCCUGGUGACAGCUCCUGCUGAGGACCCAGCUGACAGCAAGCACCAACCUCCAGACAACAAGAGCUUUCUUCUGGCACAUCUGGUUUAUGUGAAUACAUUAGUGAGUUUCCCAGGAAGCCGCAGCAUCACACAAAGGCCCAUGAUCAUUUCACCAGGUUGACCUGAACAUCAUUGGCUAAACAUAGGAAAUCAAGAAAUUGUUAAAACUUCGCCAAAGUUUUCUACCUCUAAUAGUUAAGAGAUGAUGAAGGGAAGACUCUGUUCUUCAGAAGAAUUCAAUAAUGUCUUCUUUCACAGGCUUUAAAAGAUUAUCUCUUCAAAGAUUCUUCUAACUUUUUGUUUGUUUAUAGACCAUGUGUUCUCAAUAGGAACAAUAUUGUCCACCAAAGGGUGAAAAUUGGUUCUUGGGGGGUUUAACAUUUUCUUACUAUUUUAAUGUAUAAAGCACAGAUAUACCUAUAUACAGUUCACAAACAACAUAAUGGUGUCUCUGUGGCAUUAAAUCUCAUGGAGGAGAGGACGAUCAGAAAAAAUGUCUAAAAAGGCUUCUUUAGGGAUGUGAUACUGAACAAAAGUUUAGAAACUGAAUUAGAGGACAGGAAAGGCACAUAAAGAGUUUAAAGGGACUAAUCAAACAGGACGUUUUCAACUGAUUACAUGAAUUUGGUCUGAGACUGAUUCCUCAGAAUGCCCCCCACUCUCAAGAUACCAUUUCACCUGAAGUCAUUAGCUUUGGAAUAGAAAGGAACAAAUCUACGCUUUGUUAAGAAAUAUUUGUAAAUUGGAAAUUUUCAUUCUUUAUCUCACUUUGUUUUAAAGCAACAUCAGAGAAAAAAAUUGUUAUAUCCAUUUUUUAUAGCUGAGGGAAGUAACGCUCAAUGAGGUUAACACUUUCAAAUUCUACAAAGAAUACACAGUUUCUGAGUGUAAUUAGUGAAUGUAAGAACCUGAGUUUGUUUGAUUUCAAAGCCCAUGAUUUCCUCCCACUCAUGUGCUAGCCAGGGAUUGCUGGUGGGUGAGAUGGUGUUCCAUUCUACUAUCCUGAGUUCACUGAAAAUUGACUCAAAUGCCUGAGUCAGGAAUUGAUGUGUUCUCACAGCUCGAAUUCUGGGAAGACUAGUGGUGGGGGUGGGGCUGUCACUAAGAUGUCCAGGAGUUCUGCACGGGGUGGUGGGGGCACAUUCUCCCGGGAAGUUUCAACUGGACUGGAGUUUACAGGAAUCCAAGAGCUUUGGCUAGAACAGAACCAAUCUCAGGAUUGCAGAGAACCCUGUUAGUAGCAACCUUACAUUCCAUUCCAUAUUUGUCAGUGAGGGAGAGGCACUCUGAUCCCCAUCAGAAAUUUGAAGAACCACAUAAGUUUUGGCUAGCUGCCUGUUCCCUCUGCUUCACAGCUUAACGAUGAAACUUUUGUUUGCUGUGUUCUUCCAUCCUCUGCUCCCAAGUAGCAGAUGCCAACCAAGGAAUGACUGCUGAUUUCAAAAUUAGAGAGAUGGCCAUAUAGACUAUGAACAUAUAGAUCAUUUCUGCUUUUUCUUUUGUUUCUAGAGAUUAGUAUAAAACUUUUUGUACAACAUCCCCUAUACUCAUUAAAUCUGUGACAUCCUUGUUGCUACCUGAUAUCAUAUAUCUGCUUUAUUUUAUAUUUCUGCUUUUCCUUUUCCAGUGACAGGUUGCCAUUUUAAAGAUGAUUAAUUAUCUAUCAUUUGGGAGCAGGACCAUAACCUUU
rnacentral:lncRNA from 1 species